UACCAGCUCUCCGAGUGGUGGGGACGAUUAUUGGGUCUAAAGCGUCCGUAGCCGGCUUGACAAGUCCCCCGUUAAAUCCAACGACCCAAUCGUUGGGCCACGGGGGAUACUGCUAGGCUUGGGGGUGGGAGAAGCUGGCGGUAUUCUCAGGGUAGGAGUGAAAUCCUAUAAUCCUGGGGGGACCACCAGUGGCGAAGGCGGUCAGCUAGAACGCGCCCGACGGUGAGGGACGAAAGCUGGGGGAG
rnacentral:rRNA from 1 species